AUGGCGACGCUUGCGGUUGUGGGGCAUGCUGCGGCGGUGACGCAGCUCGUCGGCAACGCGUUCGGCCUCAUCGCAAAGAUCAAGCGGGCGGUGGAGACGGCGCGCCAGAACAAGCUGGAGUGCGACCUCAUCGCGCGCUGCGUGCCCACCAUCAACGGGGUGCUGUCUAGCCUGCCGCAGGAACCGGAGGUGGUGGCGCCGCUGCAGGAGCUCAACAUCACGCUGCAGGAGGCGCACGACAUGGUCGUCGCCUGCCGGGAUCGGAGCUCCGCCAAUUUGUUCUUCAGGUCCCGCCGCCACGCCGAGUGCUUCACUCAAGUCAACCUCAGGAUCAUGUCCGACAUCAACAUCCUUAACCUCUGCCUGCUCAACAUCAUCGCCCGGCGGCAGAAGACGACGACCAUCGCCUUGGUGCCAUCGUCGGAGUCCUGCUCUGGCUACCCGCAGCAGACUCGGUCUCAGAUGGUGGUGGUGCCCGAUUGCCCCAGGAUGUUCACGUUGGUGGAAAUUGCGGCGGCGACAAACAACUUCGCCGUCGAGCUCGGCGCAGGCUGCUCGGGGAAGGUGUACAAGGGCCGCCUCCACGACGGCCCGGAGGUGGCCGUGAAGGUGCUGGACAAGCACGGGCGGCAGGACGUGGAGCACGCGUUCGUUACGGAGCUCGAGAUCCUCUUCCCCCUCCGCCACGACCACAUCGUGCGGCUCGUCGGCUGGUACACGGAGGAGAAGGACCCCAUGUUCGUCUAUGAGCACGAGCAUAUGAGCAAUGGCACGCUCAGAGACCACCUGGUGCACGUGGGCCUGCGCACGCGCAUGCGCGUGCGCCUGAGCGGCGGCUUUAGCUCGACGCCGGUGAGGGUGUGCUGGAGGACCCGCGUGGAGGUGCUGCUGGGCGUGUCCCGGGCCGUCGAGCACUUGCACUGCAGCGGCAUCAUCCACCUCGACGUGAGCUCCUCCAACAUCCUCCUAGACGCCACCUGGAUGUCGCGCCUGUCCGGCUUCGGGGCAGCGGUCCUGCAAGCGCCGGCAGUGGCGGGCGGCCAGGUGGUCGAGGAGGUCGUCGGCACGCCCGGGUACCUCGACACGGGGCGUGUCAGCCCGGCGAGCGACGUGUGUAGCUUCGGGGUGGUGAUGCUAGAGGCGCUGACGGGCGAGGAUCCGGCCACCCUAGAGGUGGACUCCUCGCUCCAGGCCAUUAGGGACGGGAAGCUGCGGGAUGUGCUGGACUGCCGCCCCGCGACGCUGCCGCAGUUCGAUGCGCUGGACCUGGUGGCGCACACCGCGGAGCGCUGCAUGUACCCGCGGGGAAAGGGCCGGCCGUCCAUGACGGACGUCGUGGCCAGCCUUGAGAAGGCGCUCAGGAUGAUUCUCAUUAGGUAG
rnacentral:rRNA from 1 species